UCGAGCAGGCAGAGACCAGUUUUUGCUUAUCACCUACCGGGCGGACCGCUGUGACAACCCAAUACAUUGUGAGGGACAAGAUACCCUUCUGUCCCACUCUCACGGCUAAUUAGUGUGGCCACCAAGUCACUGCCACGAGUGGCAACAUCAUCGUCAGUAUCAUCCUCAAAAUAAUCAACGUGAUCAGCCCUGUUCUAAUGAUCGUAGUAAAUUUAUACAAGUGAACGUAAAGCCGUUCUUUUAAUUUAGCACAUUGUUACCGGCCCCUGUAGUCACAGUGAUGACUCGCUUUGCCACUAAAAUGAUCCAAUGUUGUUAGCCUGCAGAGAAAAAGCACUUUCUGACCUCAGUCUUGUGGAUAAAUACAACAAUCUAAGCACAAUACCUGGAAUAUCUUGUUUGCCAAUAUAACUAUAGCACUUUUAAUUGCAUCAAGGCGUUUGGCCUAACAGCUAGCGGGCCGCUGGAAUUGGACAACAACAACAACAACAACGCAAAAGAGCAAGUAAGCAGGGAAAAGGUUGCUGAACCGAAGCGACACGCAGGGAAACCAAUGGUGACAUCUGUGCGGAGACGUGUGACCUUUCCAAACCAAAGGAAGUGACACAUCUGAGGGAGCUGUACUUCACGUCAUCUUGGUCCCUCUGAGUGUGUUCACCAAAACACAGCUGGUUUGAGCCGCUGCGUCUUCUGCACCAACAUAAGCAGCAACCCGGAUAGAGGCAGAGUCAACCGGUCCAAUCAAGUCCCCGGCUGCAUACAAGAACAAAGUCAGUUAUUGUUGUGUGUCCGUGAUGAAAUGUCAGCUACACGGCAGACAGAGCAGGACCGGAGGGUUGGUGGUGGGGAAGACUGACCCACCCGACAAUGGAGUUACUGUGAUGAGGACGUCAGACAUGAAUUUCCGCCAUCCUUGUGACUUUCCCUCGGCCACAAAUGGGCUCAUUCCAAGCUCACAGUCAUAAUGGAAGCGGCCCUUUGCACUCGUUUGGAGGGAAAACAGCCCGGCUGCCAACAUCUGACUCAGAUAAAAUGAGAAGGGCCUUCGGGUUUCUCUUUUUACAUCGUGCAUCCACUCCGAAUGAUUAGAGACACCACAGACUCCAAGCUACGUACCUGAAUCCCUACCGGCUGAUCCAAGGGACUCUCCUCCAGUCCGUAACCCGGAACUCGGACUACCCUCCUGUUAACGUUCCAUCCUGAUCAUCUGCCUGCCUAUUCCUCAUAUCUCCGUCUGCUUCCAUUGAACUCACCUCACGGCUGUCUCCUGUCCCCCAUUCGUGACAGUCACAUGUCAUCUGUUAAUAUUAAGAAACAAAUCUUUAAGAAACAAAUCAUGUUUGAAAGUGAGACAUUAAAGCAGUCAAAUUUACAUAGAAGCAUGUGUGUUAAUUAUAUAUAAAAAGCAUCUCAGGUCAGUCAAAUAUUCAAGUCACCGGCUGCAAAGGUUUAGACUGUAUGACCUAGAUGUAAGGUACAAAACCACUAAAUCACUAACGUAACGUAAGAAUUUUUUUAUCAGACUUACAAUAUUUGAAAUGAC
ensembl:lncRNA